GUUCAGGUCAGGAGGUCAGGUCAGGUCAGGAGGUCAGGUCAGGAGGUCAGGUCAGGAGGUCAGGUCAGGAGGUCAGGUCAGGAGGUCAGGUCAGGAGGUCAGGUCAGGAGGUCAGGUCAGGAGGUCAGGUCAGGAGGUCAGGUCAGGAGGCCAGGUCAGGAGGUCAGGUCAGGAGGUCAGGUCAGGAGACCAGGUCAGGAGGUCAGUCUCCAUGCUGAGGAUACGGUCAGGAGGUCAGGUCAGGAGACCAGGUCAGGAGGUCAGGUCAGGAGGUCAGGUCAGGAGAUCAGUCGACACGAUGAGGAAACAGCCAGACCAGGUCAGGAGGUCAGGUCAAGAGGUCAGGUCAGGAGACCAGGUCAAGAGGUCAGGUCAGGAGACCAGGUCAAGAGGUCAGGUCAGGAGAUCAGUCUACACGAUGAGGAAACAGCCAGACCAGGUCAGGAGGUCAGGUCAAGAGGUCAGGUCAGGAGACCAGGUCAAGAGGUCAGGUCAGGAGAUCAGUCUACACGAUGAGGAAACAGCCAGACCAGGUCAGGAAGUCAGUGAUCAUACUCCUUGUCUAUAAACUUGGCCAUGGUGGACAGCUGGAUGUUGGUGGUGCCCUCAUAAAUG